UACACCCUCGCUGACCACUCACUGUGACCUCACUCUGUGACAUAUGCACAGUAGCAUCCUUGAGGACGCCAGGAAAGCCGUCGGGGUGGCCCCCAGCUGCUCACCACGUACCCUGAGCCUCUGUGCAAGACCCAGCCUUCGAAACUCCCUGAAGAGUGUUCCACACCUCAGAUGGCAGCCCUGAGCAGAGACCGUGGGAGGGGCCCUGCCAGAGAUCCUGUGCGUUCAGGCACCGGCCCAGCACACCUCCCUUACUAGGGUUUCGGGCUGACGGGGACAAUCCCAUAGCUGUAACAGACUUCGGAGGACAGCCCUGGACUGCAGGGAACGCACGGAACCAAGGGCCCCCAGGAGACACCACUGUCCCCGUUGCUCGGCUGGCUCAGGCACCUGCAAGGCACCGGGUUCAGCUCGUUGGUGAGUCCUGUUUUCUCCACCGGGAUGUGGACCAAGACAACUAACUCCCUUCCUAGGAGAGGUUCCCUGGCUCCACAGGAGCACUGACCGCAGGUUCCAGCCGGCUCUGUCACAACCAACCUCACUUCUUCAACAAACAGCCACCAGCAGCCACCGGCUCCAGGCCCGGGCCACAGACGGGCAUUCAGAGGUGCGGCUCCCGUGGUUAGGGGGUCGGGGGGCAGGCCGGCUGCAUCUGCCACGGAGGCCCAGCUCAGGUGCAGGAGGAGCCCUCCCUGGGCCCCAGGCCGUCACCUGGCAACAGGUACAGUAACUCUCGUCACCUGCCUCUGCACAACCAAGCAGGAUCAGGCUGCUCACGGCAGGGCGCAGAAGCACAGGCCGGCACCAAUGCUGAACCACCAGACGUUUGGCCGCGCAGGAGGGCCCCCACCCCGUCCCUUUGGUCUGUCUGCUCUGUCACCCAGGCUGCGGCACGGGCCCGGGGUGGGCUCAGGAGACAGGCAGCGUGGGGCGGCAGGGGGCGCAGAACCGGAGUCCAACAGGACGCCCAGCUUCAGAUUGCCAGCGAGUCCGUCCUGACUGUCGCCACCCAAACCGGAUUCUGACAAACGGCGACUCCAGCUGCCCUGAGCCACACACCUAGUUCCACUUGCACACACACGGCAGUCAGGACGGACCCACUGACCACGCACACAGCAUGUAAGUUAAUUUCUUCAUCUGUACUAUGAAAACAUAAGAGGCCCUGUCCCGGGCUCACUGUGGAAAUGAACUGAGCUAUGGAGCCUAAACAGCUGAGGACCAGAGCCUGGCCCCCAGAGCACCACGUGAGCACGGCAGGGCCCAGGGCGUGCUUGGUCCAGUACGAGUCUUCUCUCCCCAACCAGAAGGUAACCGAAAGGUAAGCCGGCCUCCUUGCCUCUAGCUUCCCUCGUCUUGAACACACGCCCAGCCAUGACUGCAUUUCUCACCAUGCACUCUUUGCUGCCCUGUGUCACCAGUCCACUCUCUCAUCGCAGCCUGCUGGGUGCCCACACCACUCCAGACUCUGGGCUAGGCACCCAAGAUCCAAGGGUGACCAAGACGGAGGUCCCUAUGCCCCAGGGGCUCUCAGCCACGUGUGCGAGAUAAACACACACACACAC